rnacentral:misc_RNA from 1 species
GGAAGUAAAAGUCGCAACAAGGUCUCCGUUGGUGAACCAGCGGAGGGAUCAUUACCGAGUUUACAACUCCCAAACCCAAUGUGAACCAUACCAAACUGUUGCCUCGGCGGGGUCACGCCCCGGGUGCGUCGCAGCCCCGGAACCAGGCGCCCGCCGGAGGGACCAACCAAACUCUUUCUGUAGUCCCCUCGCGGACGUUAUUUUUACAGCUCUGAGCAAAAAUUCAAAAUGAAUCAAAACUUUCAACAACGGAUCUCUUGGUUCUG